rnacentral:rRNA from 1 species
GAUGAACGCUGGCGGCGUGCCUAAUACAUGCAAGUCGAGCGAACAGACGAGGAGCUUGCUCCUCUGACGUUAGCGGCGGACGGGUGAGUAACACGUGGAUAACCUACCUAUAAGACUGGGAUAACUUCGGGAAACCGGAGCUAAUACCGGAUAAUCUAUUGAACCGCAUGGUUCAAUAGUGAAAGACGGUUUUGCUGUCACUUAUAGAUGGAUCCGCGCCGCAUUAGCUAGUUGGUAAGGUAACGGCUUACCAAGGCAACGAUGCGUAGCCGACCUGAGAGGGUGAGCGGCCACACUGGAACCGAGACACGGUCCAGACUCCUACGGGAGGCAGCAGUAGGGAAUCUUCCGCAAUGGGCGAAAGCCUGACGGAGCAACGCCGCGUGAGUGAUGAAGGUCUUCGGAUCGUAAAACGCUGUUAUUAGGGAAGAACAAAUGUGUAAGUAACUAUGCACGUCUUGACGGUACCUAAUCAGAAAGCCACGGCUAACUACGUG